GACGAACGCUGGCGGCGUGCCUAACACAUGCAAGUCGAACGAAGUGGCGAACGGGUGAGUAACGCGUAAUCCACCUGCCCUUCAGAGGGGGACAACAGUUGGAAACGACUGCUAAUACCGCAUACUGAAGGAGGGGAUUGCGUCUGAUUAGCUAGUUGGAGGGGUAAAGGCCCACCAAGGCGAUGCACAGUAGCCGGUCUGAGGGGAUGAAAGUCCAAAUUGGGAACUAGACACGGCCCAGACUCCUACGGGAGGGAAGAGGGGGGAAUCUUCCGAAAUGGACGGAAGGCUGGAGGAGCAACGCCGCGGGAGUGAUGGCGGCCUUCGGGUUGUAAAGCUCUGUUAAUCGGGACGCGGUACCGGAAUAGAAAGCCACGGCUAACUACGUGCCAGCAGCCGCGGUAAUUC
rnacentral:rRNA from 1 species